rnacentral:lncRNA from 1 species
CGGGACAGGCGACCAGAGGGGGGGAUGAAUAGGAGCCGAUUCAAAUUUCCUCAAUGAACCUCGGCAAAAGUCCCAAACCAAUCCAACCUCUCUUCUAGCAAUAUUAAGUCCCCUUAGCUAUGUAGGAGCUAAUGGACCUAGGAAUGAUGCUAGGAAUCUAAUUUCAGACCAGCGGAAGCAAGAAGAAACACAAACAAAUGUCGGAAGAAGAAGUUUGAAAACCAACACUAAAGUUCGGAAAAUUCCGGAAAAUCUUCCGGAAAAUUCCGAACUUUCGGAAAUUUUUAGAAAAACCUUCAGAGAAUUCUGGAAGUUCGGAAAUUUCCGGAAUAUUCCGGAACUCCGAAAAAAAACUUUCGUGAGGAAGGUGGAAAAAUCCGAAACUCGAUCAAACGACCUCCAAAAAUCACAAAAUUUGAACCAUACACUCACAAUAACAUACCAAAGGUAUUCUCAAAGGCUCAAGUCAAAAAACCCAAGAAUUGCAUGCACAAAAGCAAAAGAAUGCAUGCUCCCCCUCAAAUGCAAAAUUCCCCAUUAAAUGCAAG